UGGAGAGUUGUCCGAGAGGCUGAAGGAGCAUGGUUGGAAACCAUGUAUACGGGUUUUGCCUGUAUCAAGGGUUCGAAUCCCUUACUCUCCGU
rnacentral:tRNA from 2 species